AUUCCGCGCCAUACUAAUUUUACGUCAUUCAUCAUCCAGAUUGUGUGUGCUCACGCACGUUAUAGUCACUCGGCGUGUUCGUAUUUGUGAGGCAAAUCGUAUUCCAUAAUGAUUGUAAAAUUGCUUCCGACCGGAGGUUAAUGUCACUCGAUGCUUUUGAGAAUGUUGUCGAAUAUUGUCGAACGUUGCUAGUUUUAACAUCGGUGUAUAUAUAUAUAUAUAUGGAAAUCGUAGCAAGCGGCAGCUUAGAAUGCUCAUUUCAGAUCUGUUUUAACAGUUGUCGAUAAUUCGUUUUCGUCGUUUGCACGCGUAAGCUUCGUUUAAAUGGAAAACACAGCCUGUAGCUGCAAGCAUGUGAAACAACGUACAAAGUAGAGUACGAUGUUCGCGUUUCUUUAUAAACAGAUUUACGAAUCAACACGACGAGUUAAGAAGUCUUUUAAUAUGCAGAGGCGAUAAUCGAAUCUUUCCUUAUUUUCCGCGAUAAGCAAAUUUUUCAUCGCCUCCGGGAAUACCCUUUCUUUUCGUUCCGAAAGAUCCUACGAAGCGAUAAAAAAUUAAUAUCGACACUGUAUCUUUGAUCGAUUAAUUCCCAUGAUUUGUAUCGAUAUUUAUAUCCGAUAAGAUUUAAGCCAUCGAAAGUUUCAAUUCAUUGGUCUAGUCGUUUAUAUCAUCAUCGGGCAAAUUUUCAAAACUGCAUUAUCAUACUCUACGAUGAUAAUUCCCUUAUCGAAUAUCGGGAUUAAAAUAUAUCUUUGUGCAAACAAGCCGACGUAUUAAUUUCACAAUCUUCCAUGAAUCAGUUCCGCCUUUUAUUAACUGCAAUCAACAGCGAGACCUCUUACGAAAAUGGAGCUGGUUCUUGCGUCAAUUGUAGCGGCGGGUUCCGUGGCGCACGAUACGACGCUGCAUAAGAACCGCUUUGGUGGGGUAUGUAAAGAGUGGGGGGACCGAGAGAGGGGUAAAUUUCCCCUUGUUCGCACACUCCGUUAUGACCCAACAUUAUCGGUGAAUGUGCCGUGCGCGAGAUGGAGGCUCGUCCUCUCAAGGGCAAAAAAGUCAUUCGAUUCCGCACCCACAAAUUCGUUGAUUGCAUCACGUGAAUCUAAGACGCUUCUGUUACCGUGUUACGCGAAAAUUUGCAAAUUUGCGUCUUCCACGUCUGGGACGGAUUUUUCCACGCCUACCAAUUACUAUUAAUCGUUACUCCUUCGGAAAGUAAUUUCCUUACGGCAUCGAACAUCUGGUUUGACCUUUUCAUAGAUAUGAUACGAUGUUACUGCAAAAUACAUUAAAAAAUAAUCGACUUUAAUGUCCAACACGUGCAUUAUCUUCGUCGAAAAAAUAUGAAAUCAUUGUCAUUCUUCGGCGAGCUUAACUCGGUAUUUCAUCGCAUAAUUUAUAUAUAAACCAUUUUCUUCUUUUAUAUCGUUUACGGUUAAUCCGUGAAAUUAACAAGAUCUCUACUCCGUAUCCUCGUUCCGAAGCAACAGAAACAUCGAGAGUGAUUGCUUUUUAAUCGUCUUUUUAAUUGAGGGCCCUCGUUGCAUUCAUUUUCGUUUAUUCCGUAUCUUUCAAUAUAUUCUUUGUUAGUGUAUCGUUUAACACGGAUGAAAUAUAUCGUGAAACAGCGUCGUAAAAUGAUUACCGGCUUACCAUUCUGUGAGUAGAUAAACGUCGCUUAAAACCCGGAUAAGCUGUCGAGCUUAUUCGCUAAAAAGUUACACCGUUUAGAGAUAUUUUAACUUGGAUAUUAUUUUUUCAUGGUUGUUUUAUCGGAAAACUACCUUCUUCGAUGAAAAUCGAUAGAGAAACGAGCAGAACGAUGCUAUCGACACAGCGAUACGUCGAUUGAAGCAAUUUCAAUUUCUAUUCGCUAUAUUAUAAACUUUCUAGCAUUGAGAUUACGCAAAUACGAUAACACGUGCAGCGUUUCCAAGAUAUUUGUAAUAAAAAGUCGAGUACAAAAGCGUACUCGAGUACCUUCGAUCAAUCUACCUUUUUCAUUAAUCAAUAGUACUCGAUCGUGCACUGCUUCAUUCAAUAAUAUUACUGCAUGGUAUUGAGCAUUGCGCUCUAUCUAAUAAAAGUCGUUGAUUCUCUUCGAUCUAUCCAACAAUUGUCCCACGGUUCUAUGUCCAUCGUGUUUGUUCUUUUGCUUCGCGGUAACGCGAUACAGCUUUGCAGCAAUAACGACGCAAUUCACUUCGUUUAAUCUUCCAGUCAAUUUAUGUUUCAUUGUACCGAUAUCAUGUAGCUGGCAACAAAUAGAGUAUUUCAUUCCGCUCUUCCAUUGCGUAUUGCAGCGACUCGAGCUGCAGCUUGCGUUUAUCUUCUGGAGACUGUGUUUCUAGCGGACACGCGAUGCGCCACUUCCGUUCGUUAUAUCCGUACUCGGAUGCACGAUACGUCGAAUGUUCCGAUAUUUGUUCUAACCCUCUAUAAUUAGAGUUUUGUCUACAUACAAAGGAACAAGAGCGACGUUACCAAAAGUUCUAGUCAAGGUAUUUCUCGUUCAAUUACUAUUUCAUGAAAUAUAUUUCUAUAUAUUUGCGUUUAUUACACGUUCAGAACGUGCAACGUUCGUAAAGCAAGCUUGCUAAAUAUAUAAUAUUUAUAUAAGAAAUACACGUUUUAUAAUAUUUUAUAUGUGGAAAUUGCACAAUUGAACUGCGUUACGUCGUCGUUAGUUCUAACAUGUUCGACCGAUCGGAAAGCUGAUAAAGCUGAUAAAACGGAAAAGGAACAAAUGGUCCUCCUACGAAGGUAAAAGCCUCGUUGUCAUUCGAUCGAUCGAGCAUUCUCCAUCGUUUCUUGUCCAUUAUCUUGUGCUUUUAUAUGACACAUGGAGGCUUCCACGUGGCGUAGCGCAUAUUCUUUCCAGGUGUGUUUGACGAAGCACAAACAUAUGGGUCGAUAGGGACGAUAGUGACAGAAUCGUUCCUGAACGACGACGUGUAUUCGAUGGUCGAUCGAUGAUGCUGAGUACGAAGAAGUAGGCGGUGCAGAGCGUUGAAAAUUGUUUGCGAUGAAUCGUGCAAGCAGAGGAAGUUCCUCCAAGUCACGAUUAUAAGCAAGUUUCUCGGCGUCGACUCGAUGGAAACUCGUUAUUAAUUGUUACAUCGAAGCGAAGAUUCCCUCUGAUGUGUCGCGUGGACGAAUGAUACUCUAUUUCCUUAGCGUUAUCGCAUUUUUCCAAAGUUCUUUUAUUUGUAUGCCGAUCCUGUGUUUUUCACUGUCCAAUACAAGAAUAAAACAAGAGAAAAUUUGAUAAUUUUUCUGCGUUGCAGUAUGACGAAAUUCGAAGCGCGGUUUGGUUUUCGAGCUGACGAGCAGACGAGUACGAAGCACAGAAAGCGCGUGUGGAUUUCGUCGGACGAUUAUUCUAGGAUCGAUAAAGCUUUUCUACCGAAGAAACGGCGUAAAUGAGAGCUUUUAGUUCAUCGGAGACUCUGUCUUUGCGUUAUAAACAUCCCUUUUUUAUGAAACGUAUAAAAACAUCAUGUUCCAUAAAUAUAAAAUCGUUGGUCUUCUCUAAUGUUCUUUAAAAAGACAAGUAACGUUUGUGAGACAUUAUCAUAUAAUAAAAGUGUAAAUGGUCUCCCUCGUAUAAGAUAUUAUUACCCCAUUUUUGUCUGAAAUAAGUGACCUGUAAAAGAACAAUAUGCUUCGUUCAGAAAUAUUUACCAUUUACUGUCGAGGUUAUUAGAUGUAUGAACAGAGUAACGCGUGGAUAAAUUGUAAAGUAAAAAAUAUAUUUUAAUACAGAAGUGUAA